AGGACUAUACUUUCAGAGAUCAUUUCUAUAGUUUGUUACUAGAGAAGUUUCUCUGAAAGUGUAGGGUACCGGUCUCAUUCAUUUGGGGAAUAUAAAAAAUAGUGAA
rnacentral:snoRNA from 2 species